CACAUGCAAGUCGAGGGGCAGCAUGAUUGAAGCUUGCUUCAAUUGAUGGCGACCGGCGCACGGGUGAGUAACGCGUAUCCAACCUUCCGUACACUCAGGGAUAGCCUUUCGAAAGAAAGAUUAAUACCUGAUGGUAUGAUGAGAUCGCAUGAUAGCAUCAUUAAAGAUUUAUCGGUGUACGAUGGGGAUGCGUUCCAUCAGGUAGUAGGCGGGGUAACGGCCCACCUAGCCUACGAUGGAUAGGGGUUCUGAGAGGAAGGUCCCCCACAUUGGAACUGAGACACGGUCCAAACUCCUACGGGAGGCAGCAGUGAGGAAUAUUGGUCAAUGGACGAGAGUCUGAACCAGCCAAGUAGCGUGAAGGAUGAAGGUCUUACGGAUUGUAAACUUCUUUUAUAAGGGAAUAAAACCUCCCACGUGUGGGAGCUUGUAUGUACCUUAUGAAUAAGCAUCGGCUAACUCCGUGCCAGCAGCCGCGGUAAUACGGAGGAUGCGAGCGUUAUCCGGAUUUAUUGGGUUUAAAGGGAGCGCAGACGGGUCGUUAAGUCAGCUGUGAAAGUUUGGGGCUCAACCUUAAAAUUGCAGUUGAUACUGGCGUCCUUGAGUGCGGUUGAGGUGUGCGGAAUUCGUGGUGUAGCGGUGAAAUGCUUAGAUAUCACGAAGAACUCCGAUUGCGAAGGCAGCACACUAAGCCGUAACUGACGUUCAUGCUCGAAAGUGUGGGUAUCAAACAGGAUUAGAUACCCUGGUAGUCCACACGGUAAACGAUGGAUACUCGCUGUUGGCGAUAUACGGUCAGCGGCUUAGCGAAAGCGUUAAGUAUCCCACCUGGGGAGUACGCCGGCAACGGUGAAACUCAAAGGAAUUGACGGGGGCCCGCACAAGCGGAGGAACAUGUGGUUUAAUUCGAUGAUACGCGAGGAACCUUACCCGGGCUUAAAUU
rnacentral:rRNA from 1 species